rnacentral:lncRNA from 1 species
UAUUAGAGUAGAGUGAUCUUCCUAUAUUAUUAGGCUUUAAGUGCCUGGCCUGGAAUGCUUGACCUAGAGUACUCGGUAUAGAAGCUCGGCCUAUAGUGCUUGGCAAAAGAGCUUUGCCUGAGAGCUCCGCCUAGGAACUUGGCCCAGAAGCUUGGCCUGAAGUGCUCAGUAUGGGAGUUCGGCUUGGAAUACUUGCCUUGAGAGCUCGACCUAAGAGUUCGGUCCAAAGUGCUCAGCACGGAAUCUUGGUAUGGGAGUUUGGCUUGAAGUGUUCGACAUGAGAUCUUGGCUUGAAAGCUCGAUCUAGAGUUCUUGAUAUGGGAGCUGGUCCUGGAGUACUCAGCCUGCUGGGCAGCAGCUACGCAUCUCGUGUGCGCGACACUUGUGUCUCGAAUGGCAUGAAAG